rnacentral:rRNA from 1 species
AUUGAACGCUGGCGGAAUGCUUUACACAUGCAAGUCGAGCGGCAGCGCGGGGGCAACCCUGGCGGCGAGCGGCGAACGGGUGAGUAACAUAUCGGAACGUACCCCGUCGUGGGGGAUAACACAGCGAAAGCUGUGCUAAUACCGCAUACGACCUGAGGGUGAAAGCGGGGGAUCGCAAGACCUCGCGCGAUGGGAGCGGCCGAUAUCGGAUUAGCUUGUUGGUGAGGUAAAGGCUCACCAAGGCGACGAUCCGUAGCUGGUCUGAGAGGACGACCAGCCACACUGGAACUGAGACACGGUCCAGACUCCUACGGGAGGCAGCAGUGGGGAAUUUUGGACAAUGGGGGCAACCCUGAUCCAGCCAUUCCGCGUGAGUGAAGAAGGCC